AUUGAACGCUGGCGGCAGGCCUAACACAUGCAAGUCGAACGGUAACAGAAAGCAGCUUGCUGCUUUUCUGACGAGUGGCGGACGGGUGAGUAAUGUCUGGGAAACUGCCUGAUGGAGGGGGAUAACUACUGGAAACGGUAGCUAAUACCGCAUAACGUCGCAAGACCAAAGAGGGGGACCUUCUGGCCUCUUGCCAUCGGAUGUGCCCAGAUGGGAUUAGCUAGUAGGUGGGGUAAAGGCUCACCUAGGCGACGAUCCCUAGCUGGUCUGAGAGGAUGACCAGCCACACUGGAACUGAGACACGGUCCAGACUCCUACGGGAGGCAGCAGUGGGGAAUAUUGCACAAUGGGCGCAAGCCUGAUGCAGCCAUGCCGCGUGUAUGAAGAAGGCCUUCGGGUUGUAAAGUACUUUCAGCGGGGAGGAAGGGAGUAAAGUUAAUACCUUUGCUCAUUGACGUUACCCGCAGAAGAAGCACCGGCUAACUCCGUG
rnacentral:rRNA from 1 species